rnacentral:rRNA from 1 species
GACGAACGCUGGCGGCGUGCUUAACACAUGCAAGUCGAACGGAAAGGCCCUGCUUUUGUGGGGCGCUCGAGUGGCGAACGGGUGAGUAACACGUGAGUAACCUGCCCUUGACUUUGGGAUAACUUCAGGAAACUGGGGCUAGUACCGGAUAGGAGCUCCUGCUGCAUGGUGGGGGUUGGAAAGUUUCGGCGGUUGGGGAUGGACUCGCGGCUUAUCAGCUUGUUGGUGGGGUAGUGGCUUACCAAGGCUUUGACGGGUAGCCGGCCUGAGAGGGUGACCGGCCACAUUGGGACUGAGAUACGGCCCAGACUCCCACGGGAGGCAGCAGUGGGGAAUAUUGCACAAUGGGCGGAAGCCUGAUGCAGCAACGCCGCGUGCGGGAUGACGGCCUUCGGGUUGUAAACCGCUUUCGCCUGUGACGAAGCGUGAGUGACGGUAAUGGGUAAAGAAGCACCGGCUAACUACGUGCCAGCAGCCGCGGUGAUACGUAAGGUGCGAGCGUUGUCCGGAUUUAUUGGGCGUAAAGGGCUCGUAGGUGGUUGAUCGCGUCGGAAGUGUAAUCUUGGGGCUUAACCCCUGAGCGUGCUUUCGAUACGGGUUGACUUGAGGGAAGGUAGGGGAGAAUGGAAUUCCUGGUGGAGCGGUGGAAUGCGCAGAUAUCAGGAGGAACACCAGUGGCGAAGGCGGUUCUCUGGGCCUUUCCUGACGCUGAGGAGCGAAAGCGUGGGGAGCGAACAGGCUUAGAUACCCUGGUAGUCCACGCUGUAAACGGUGGGUACUAGGUGUGGGGUCCAUUCCACGGGUUCCGUGCCGUAGCUAACGCUUUAAGUACCCCGCCUGGGGAGUACGGCCGCAAGGCUAAAACUCAAAGGAAUUGACGGGGCCCCGCACAAGCGGCGGAGCAUGCGGAUUAAUUCGAUGCAACGCGUAGAACCUUACCUGGGUUUGACAUGGAUCGGGAGUGCUCAGAGAUGGGUGUGCCUCUUUUGGGGUCGGUUCACAGGUGGUGCAUGGCUGUCGUCAGCUCGUGUCGUGAGAUGUUGGGUUAAGUCCCGCAACGAGCGCAACCCUUGUUCACUGUUGCCAGCACGUUAUGGUGGGGACUCAGUGGAGACCGCCGGGGUCAACUCGGAGGAAGGUGGGGAUGACGUCAAGUCAUCAUGCCCCUUAUGUCCAGGGCUUCACGCAUGCUACAAUGGCUGGUACAGAGAGUGGCGAGCCUGUGAGGGUGAGCGAAUCUCGGAAAGCCGGUCUCAGUUCGGAUUGGGGUCUGCAACUCGACCUCAUGAAGUCGGAGUCGCUAGUAAUCGCAGAUCAGCAACGCUGCGGUGAAUAAAAUCCCGGGGCU